GAUUUGGUACUAAUGGUCGAGAUACAUGGUCGGUAAGCGCAGGUCGGACCGGAGUGUUGUCGUUGCCAAAUGCCAACGGUCCGCGCCGCACACAUGAAGACGGGAAAGAGGAAACCACGGAGGAAACUAGAUUUCGUUAAGGAAUUAACACGAAGUGUAUGAUUGUGCUGGCAACAACGAAAUUUAAUAACACUGAAUCAAUUCGAUGGCUUCAAUAGAUGCUAGAUAUAGAAAACCCCGUAAAACCAAAGGCACACCAUUAUUUAAAUUCCGAUAUUAUGUUGGUGGUGUCGUGUCUGUUUUCACUCUCUUAACCGGAGUGAUACUUACGUAUACUCCUCUUUUUCAUGGCAUCUUUCAAUCGUUUGAGCUCAAGAGCGCAUUGAGGAGAGAGAUACUAAGUGAAACUACUGAAGAAGAAAGACACAGAAAUAAUUUAAUGCUCAGUACAUUCUAUAACAUAAUGGAUGAUAGAGCAAAGGCCGAAAAACAGAAAUCUGCAGAGCCCAGUAUUUAGAGCUAUGCAAUAUAUUGUACAUGAAGAAACGUAAGAAUGGAAAAUCGGGAGCAUGAUGAUCCCUCUCAAUUGAGGGAAUUAGAUUGUAGAAGAAAAAUAAACCCUAGAAAUUUAUCACUUAGAAACAAAAAAUUGUCGAUAAAAAAGCAAGAUGACGAAAGAUUGGCCCAAGAAUCUGAUCGGUCUGCCGGUCAUUCAAAAGCUAUUGAAACAUUUUUGCAUUCAGAGAAUUCUACAAGUACCUCUAGUUGUGGAAUGUUCAGUGACAUUACGUCGCUGGAUAAAGAUGAUAGCUUGGCUGAUUUUCGAUCCCCAGUAAAAGAGACGGACUUGAACGAAUCUUUAGCGGAUUUCAAAGUUUCGUUACGAAACAAGCGAUUAACUCAUAAAGAGAACAAACCUGUUCUUAAGAAAAAGCAGAAAAAAAAUCGAGAUGCUCUGUCAAAUGUAAAUCAACCAUCGAUAGAAUCAUCUUUUUUCAAACCACAAACAAUGGUGAAAACUGGUUUUCCAUGCCCAUUGUGUUUCAAAUCGUUUAAAGAUACAACAACUAAAAAUAGUCAUAUGAAAAGUUGCGCUACUAAGAAUAAAGUAUCAACCAAAACACUUUUGGAUGCCGUCGAAUUGCAGGCAAAACAAGCUAAUGAGAGAAAAGCAUUGGGCCUCCUCGAAGCUCCUCCAAUACAGCCGAAGAAAACCGUAUCGCGUAAAUUGAUCUCAGACAAAGAUCCGCAACUACAAAUAGCUUUGGCUCUCUCAAUGUCACUCCAUGAAGCACAAUUGAUGGAGGAAAUCGAAGAUGCACACUUACUAGUAGGUGAACCCUGUCCUUCAAGUUAUGGAGAGAUGACGGAGGAGCGUAGAAAAACACUGCAGAAUUUUGGAUUCACAACAAACAAGCCUGCAACAGUAUCUACCACUAACAAAUCCAAAAAAAGAAGACUGGCUGGUCCAACCCUUUUGCAAACCCGUACUAAGCAGGAAAGAGAUCAUAUUUUAUCAGUUCAAAUCGCUGAAGUUUUAAUGGGUGACAAAGCGAUAACACAAGCUAUGAUGGAGGAAGAGGGAGAAGUUACCAAACCAGAAGAGAAUAUCAUUCUCAAAAGUCGCUUGCUUCAAUCUUAUGAACGUGUGAAAGACAGAUUAUGGGAUAAAACUCAACAAUGUCUCGGUAGUAAAGGUUCAUAUUUUUGUAAUCAGUUGGAGCUUUUAUUAUGUAAAGUCACAGUUGAGUCUGAAACAAAAUCGGGACAAGAAGAACCACCCAAAGAGGAACCUCUCGACCAAAGUGCGAAAUACCUUCCAGGAACAAUUGAUGAAAGUAUCACAGCUCUUUCAGAAAGUUCCAUCUCUUCUGAAGCUGAAAGUUUAGCGGCUGAUGAUAAUCCUGUAACAACAUCAAAGAGUAGAAUAGAUGGAGAGUUCAUUGGUCAUUUGUCCAAAGACUGGAGAUUUUUACUGAUUAAUUCCUACAUGAGUGACGUCUCAGUGAUUGUAAAAGGAGAUACAAAAUUACCUGCCCAUCGACUAGUAUUAUUUGUAAGAUGUAGAGAAGUCUUGGAUGAUGCGAUACCUAAUGAUCACAUAAUGGCCAGAAUACACUGGCCAGAAAUAGAAGUUUCUGUAGCAAGUGCAUUUCUGGAAUAUAUCUAUUGCAGUGUUAUAGUGGAAUAUGUGUCAGUGUUUGAUGAUCCUAAUACCCUGUCAGAAAUAAGAGCACUUGCAAGAAAGUAUAAAUUGAAACAAAUAUUUGUUUACUUAAGGGAUAAAUCAAAAGAACUGAAAUCAAAUAAAGUUAAUAUGUUAACUCAACAACCACAUUUAAAGAUGAAUUCUGAGCCAGACCUUACUGACAUGCCUGAUAGUAAUUCUAGUUGUUCUGGAAAAGAAGUAGUGAGUAUUUCUUCCAACCCACCAGACAGUGUGUGGAAUAAUCUGGAGAAAAAUAAGCAAGACAUUGAGUACCAUAAAUCUGAUUGUAAUAAUGUUCAGGAUGCGCAUUUGGAAUUGAAGAUACAACAAAAACGAGAAAUGUUUUCCCAUGUAUCAUUUAACAAAGACUCUUUCGGGGCACAAUUUUUAUCAACUUCAGCAAAUACCAGAACUGCGUGUGAGAAUUUAUCAACCAUACCGACAAACCAAAAGAACUCCAAAAGUAUUGAAACUGUCAACUUCAAUACCACAAAUGAAAAGAGUUUCGAGAGAAUUACUUCAGCAUUCAGCAAGACCAAUUGUGAUGUUCUACCUUGGACUGAAAGCUUGAAACUUCUUGACAAAAAUUUUGAAGUGGAUCGCAGCAUAUCCCCUGACAUUUUUGAUGAUAGUGUAAUUGAAAAUCCCUCACAUACUAUUAUGGCAUUGGAGCAACAAGGAUGUAAUUUGGAACAUACUACAAAUGGUAGUGAUUCAGACAUUGAAGUUAUAUCUCCCUCCACCAAAACUUUGGAAACUAAAAAUUCUAAUUAUGAUAUAUUAACAGCUAAUAAAACAGCAGAUCUGACUCACCGGAAAAAGUGUGGAAAACCUGAAGUGAACUUUGAAUUCGUAUCUACUCGUAAGCAAAAAAGUUACAGACACCCUCUUUCUAUAAAUGAUGCUGAUCCGUAUGUGGAAGUUGAUGAUAUGAAUUUUGACAAAAAUAAGUCCAACAUGUUUAUAAAAAAAAAGGGCGAUAUUACAAUAGCAAUUGAACGAAUCCAAAAGGUAAACUCUAAAGGCAUUUCUGAAUCGGAUUCUGAAUGCGAAUCAGUUGCCAUGUAUCCUAGCAAAAAGCGUAAAAAUCCGUUUCGUAUUAAAAGGUCCGAUGUUUCGCCUAAAAUUGAAAAAAAUUUGCAAGAUACUACACAACUUGACUUAGAUUAUAAAGUUCCAUCAAAGAAAAGAACAGCUCUGAGCAUUUUUGAAGCGAAGAUAGAGUCAGAAGCUAUUAAGAAUCCUGCGAUAUUUAAUUUACCUACCCAUAAAAUUAUAUCAGACGUAUGCUUAAAAAAUAUGGGAUCAUCUCACAUCUCAAAACCUGAAGUCAGCUGUGAUGAAUUAACACACUCGAAAGUCCAUGAAGAAGAAGAUAAUGAUGAAGAUACUGAGAAUGAAAUAGAACCAUCCCAAAAACGAGUCGCUAAACUGGAUGACACUGUUAAUGCCAUUUUUGAUCUAACGCAGGAAUCUUCCAGAGAAAGUAAACUUAACAGUGAUGAAGAAACCAAUAACACUGAUACCGAAGACAAGGAUUUAUCCAUGUUCACAAAAUAUAAGAGAAAACACAGCCACAACAGUAUAGAUAAAUAUCGGUGUGCCCUUAAAAAUAAUAACUCGCGGAUCUCCAUAUCGAGUUCUAAAGUUACAAAUGAACGCUUAUCAUCUGAAGAUUAUCAAAGCUCUGGUGAUGAACUAUGGAACACACAUUAUGCAGCGAAUUGUAAUAGUUACUCGUCGAAGUAUGAGUACACAGACCCAAAUCAGAGCACAUCUAAUAUACAGAGGGAAUUAUCAGGCAGAUUGCCAAUGGGUAGCAAAAAUGUUGAAAAAUCACCAGAAAUUUUGAGUUCUACUGACUCGGAUACUGGGGAACAGAACGUUUUGAAAUUUGAUGAUGCUGAACCCUCAGAUUUGGAAAUAGAUCUAUCUGAUUUAUCUAGCACUAAAUCUUUGAACAUCUCAAUGAAAAGUAGAAAAAAUGGUAAAUAUUACAGGAUGUCUUUAUCAAAAACCAAAUCGAAUAAUGAAAUGUCGGAUGAUGAACGAAUGGACAAGAAUACGGUCAGAGAAAUUCAGAGUUUCAUUGACUUAAAACUGGAGGAUACAAUCUUAGAAAAUGAUGAUGGCAAAACCAAAAAAAGUAACAUAUCCGAUGAAGACACUGAUGCUGAGUGUUGGAUUGAGUCUGUACUUCCUAGACAGGCUGAAAAAGUUGAAUCGUCCGAAUUAGGUGAACCAAAAAAAUCUGAUAUUUACAGUGAAGAGACUGACCCAGGGGAUAUGGAAGAGAAGAAUGAUGACGAAAUUGAAAAAAUACCGGAUUUACAACAUCUUGACGAAAAUAGCUUUGACAUAUCUUCUCCUGACUGUGAAAUUUCUGGAGUAAUAUCAUCCGCUUCGAUGGACCUUAAUCUCGUUAAUAUAGUUAGCAAUAACGUCGACAGUUUACUUGAAAAAUGCAGCAGGAGUAAUCAUACUUCACCCAAAUCGUCUGUGAAUUUAGCCACACCAUCUAGAGCAGAUCCUUCAGAUUCAUUUAUAUCGACUCCUAUUUCUCGAACAUAUAAAACUGUAUUCGAUGAUGUUUCCUCACAUGACAGAAUAAGCGACGCAGAUUUCAAUGAAGCAGAAUUUUCUGUUAAACAGAAUUCUUCGAAAAUCAACGCAGUAAAUACCAAAAAGAGAGGAGAUGCAAGCAAUCAGAGCACAGUAAAAAAAUAUCAUAUCUUGGACAGUGAUUUGAGUGACAAUGAAAAUUCUAACAUCCAUAAAAUGAGUAAAACUCCAUCUAAUUUUUCGAUGAAAAGAUCAAAAGUCAGGACUUCCAAACAUUCAACAAGCCACUCAAGGAGUGGAAGCAUAUCACCAAUAAAUAUUCCAAAACGUUCUCUCGUUAGUUUGCAAAAGAGAUCAAUAUCGGAAAAUAUUAUCAAAACAAAGGAAUCAAAUUGGUCUAAUUUAAUGAAUGAUUCAUUUGACUGUGAAUUGGCAAAGGUGAGGACGCCACCAGUGCAACAUCAGGAUAUCAGCAAAGGUGAAAAUGAAACGACACCAGUACAAGAAGUACCUACCGAAAAUGUCACACCACUGGCUAAUUAUAGUGCAAUGAAGACACCCGAACUGAGGAAAGAGUUGAACAAAUACGGAUUGAAGGCACAAAAACGUCACAGAGCUAAACAACUUCUCAGGUACAUUUAUAACGAAUUACACCCAUUGGUGCCUGUGGCUGAUGACAAUGUCACUUCAUAUUCUAACUUAUACAGUAGCAAGAAUGAAUGCCCCGCUCCUAAAAGACUGAACAGGAGUAACAGUAUUGAAGAUCUGAAUGGCAAAAACACUGCUAAUGUUGAGUCCGACUCUGAAGCAUUGGUUUUUGAUGCCAGAACUGUAGGGGAAGCCUCCGACGACUACGAAGGAGCAGACUAUAAUGAUUCUUACACUCUCAGCCAGUCUGAUAACUCGGACAGUUUGGAGAGUUUUUUCCGGAAAUUAAUACAGGUGGAUAAAGUACUACACAACAAAAUUUUGGCCUAUGAACCAUUAAUAUUAGAGGAUCUGCAUGCAACAUUAAAAGCUCAAGGGUUAAAAUGCAAUCUCAAUGCUUUGAUGGAUUUGUUAGAUGAGCAGUGCAUCACAUUCCGCACAUUGGCCAAUUCAAAGAAGAGUAGAACUAAACGGAAAAUCAGCCAAAAAAAAAACUGAUGUAUCUAAUGAGUCAAAAAGAACUCAAGAAAUUACCAAAAGGUCGUUGAAACACAAGCAAGUCUGUCUGCAUCUGGAUCAUUGGCUAAAAUUAUUCCAGAAGCAUUUUGAUUAGCAGUCCUCAUACUCAGAUCUAACGCACUUUUACCCUCUUCUGGAUUUGGAAAUUUAACAGUUGGAAAGUCUGGGUCGGGAUCCUUUUGCUCCUCGACCACAAUGAAUGGCUGAAAAAUAUGAGAUGAUACAAAACCAUAUCCUUAAGGGUUUUAAAAUAAGUUUGCAUAACAUUCUCAAGUGGAUCACUGAAUAGCUGAUGGCUAUUAAUUCCUGAAGUGUUAAACGACGAUUCCAAUGGUUCUAAAUUAGCCAAGAUGGAUUUCUGAAUUCCUUUAUCAUGGGGUGAAAUAAUUUGAGCACCGUUAUCCCAGUAAACUUUAUAGCCAUUAUCUUCCUUUGGGUUGUGCGACGCUGUGACCAUUAUACCUGCUGCACAUUUAUACUUCAAUACUCCAUAGGGGACGAAAGGUGUUGGGCAAACCUUUGAAUACAUGUAAACUCUUACACCAUUGUUCACAAGAAUAGCGGCAGUCAGCUCUGCAAAUCUGUAAACAACUUCUUUUAAAUUAGCAAGAUUUGUUCACACAUCAUGAAUUAAAAAAAUUUCUAGGACUUCUAUCCCAACUACUAUCGUGUGCACAUUUUUUCUGAAUCAUAAUAAUUGAUGCCUACAACUUUAUGAAUUUCACUUGAAUAAGAAAUGAACGAUAGAGUAACACCUUUUACUAUGAUGUCUACCGUCAUAUCCGAGCACCACUCCUUUUGUCUUAGCAUCAGAAAUCGUGGAUAGUAAAUAUUUGACAAAUCCUUGUCCAGUUUGUACAAUUACUAAAUCGUUUAGUUGACUGUAUCCUGGACCCAUACGACCACGCAGUCCAGCAGUACCAAAUUCCAA
rnacentral:misc_RNA from 1 species